CCCGCUGAACUUAAGCAUACCAAUAAGCGGAGGAAAAGAAACUAACCAGGAUUCCCCUAGUAACGGCGAGUGAAGCGGGACGAGCUCAAAUUUGUAAUCUGGCUGCUUCGCAGUCCGAGUUGUAAUCUCGAGAAGUGUUUUCCGCGCUGGACGGCAUACAAGUCUGUUGGAAUACAGCGUCAUAGUGGUGAGAACCCCGUAGAUGAUGCCUGCUCCAGUGCUCUGUGAUACACUUUCGAAGAGUCGAGUUGUUUGGGAAUGCAGCUCAAAGUGGGUGGUAAAUUCCAUCUAAAGCUAAAUAUUGGCGAGAGACCGAUAGCGAACAAGUACCGUGAGGGAAAGAUGAAAAGCACUUUGGAAAGAGAGUUAACAGUACGUGAAAUUGUUGGAAGGGAAACGCUUGAAGUCAGACUUGGGGGGCGGAGUUCAGCCUUUUGGUGUACUCUUCGCCUACCAGGCCAGCAUCAGUUUUGGGGGGUGGAAAAGGGUCGAUUGAAGGUAGCAGCUUGCUGUGUUAUAGCUUUCGACUGGAUUCACCUUCUGGGACUGAGGAACGCAGUGUGCUUUUAGCGCCCCCCUCGGGGAGUUCACACUUAGGAUGCUGGUGGAAUGGCUUUAAACGACCCGUCUUGAAACAC
rnacentral:rRNA from 1 species